GUACAUGUUCACAACAUAGUGUUAAUGCACCGGAUCUCAUUAUAACUUCACAGUUAAGUGCACUUGGGCUAGAGUAGUACUAGGAUGGGUGAUCGCCCAAUCACGCUUAACUAUAGAGUGCU
rnacentral:rRNA from 1 species